AGCAGCGUGGCUCAGUGGAAAGAGCACAGGCUUGGAAGUCUGAGGUCAUGGGUUCGAAUCCCGGCUCCACCA
rfam:Ornithorhynchus anatinus chromosome 12, whole genome shotgun sequence.